AGUAACUACAAGAUGUACCGCUGCGACAUGUUGGCCUUUCUUUUCCAGUUACACUUGGCAAUGGUAAAGAUACUAGCAGUAGAAAAUCCUGAUAGAGAAAAGAUGGAUCAAAUUGGAGUAUAAUUUGUUAAGAUCAGAGAAUCGAGUUACUGCAGUAAUGAGUAGAAGUACAGCUUGCUUAACAAUAGAGAGAAACUCUCUUCUUCAUUGAACAUUGAAAGCUUUACAAGGGAACUCUUUUUAUAACUCUCUUCAUCCUAUGACUAUGUCAUUUAUAUAUACAAUCAGUUCAUCAAGCUAACACACUAACAAAUUCUAACUAACUAAAUUUGUUAAUUUAAUUAACUUGUCAGAGCUAACUUAUAGCUGUGCAUUUUACUAGCUGCUCAACAUCCUCCCUCAAGCUAGGUGUACGAAAAACAUUCUUCAUUCCUAGCUUGGCAAGCCGAUACGCAUGUUGCACACAAGUGAAUUCUUUGACUGGGUUGACAGCAAUCUGUAUUGCUAAUUUGCUGUCAGUGUAAGUAGGCACAUGCAUCUUCACCUGCACUCCUAGUUCUUUGAAGAGUCCAACUAACCACGCAACUUCUGCUACUAUUGAUGCCAAGCUCCUGUAUUCAGCCUAUGAGCUCCUUGAGAUAGUGUUUUGCUUCCAAGAUUGUGAGAGGUACUCUAUUUAUGAUACAUAUUGCAGCUUCUAUGCAUUCACCCCAAAAUCUAUUUAGUAACUGCCCUUGAAAUUUGAUACAUCUUGUCGUCUCUAACUAGCGCGUAGGCUUCCUUUCUACAACUCCAUUUUGUUGUGAAGUAUGUGGAUAUGAUAUUUGGUGGAUGAUCCCAUGCAAUGCAAACAAAUCAUGACAGUUAGAAUUCAUAAACUCUCAUCCAUUGCAAAUUUUAUCUGUUACUUGCUUUUGAAGCAUUGUCCUUUCAGAAGUAUUCAUGAAUGAUUGUUAUACUUAAUGAAUAAACAAUUCAUAAGUUGUGCUUUAUAAAAUAGAUGAAAUGAUUGCAAUCUGGCUAAAGAUGAUUCAAACGUUGUCCUAGUUCUAGUUUUGUAAAUCUAAACAUUUAGACUUCAUAAAUACUUCAAACAAACAAAAAAAGUACCUAAACUUUUCAUUGAUUUUAAAAUACUAAAUAUUAGAAAAAUAAAUCAACAUUUCUCACUGGCACUCUGUGUUUUUAAUAGUUUAAAGUUAAAAAAAAAAAGAUCAAGCCUAUUUGUAGCUAAUUGCUCAACCAAACUACACCUUCAAAUAAUGUCUCCAGACUGGAUAUAUGAUACAUCAUAUUUUUCAAUGAAAGAAUCUGGCCUCUUAAAGUUGGUACUAAUUUUCACUUAGGCAUCUUAACUAAACUUUGUUCAUUUUAGACAUCUCAUGUCAUGUCUCAUUGUGUCAUUUUGACACUUUUUACUGACAUGGCAUAGUAAGUGUAAUAUACUCAAUACCAGCCCGCGAAAGGCUCAUUUAACCUUUUUUAUUUUAGUUUUUUUAUUUGCUUCCUCAUUUCUCAGCUACAUCUCUCAAAACUUGAGCUCCUUCCAUGGAGAAACGUUUUGAUGAUGCUACAGACAAAGAAAAAAAAUCAACACGAAGAGAUUUCACAAAAAAUAAAUUUCAAUCCAUUAGAAAAGCCACGCUUCAUGUUGUCACAAAGAAAAAGGGCAGCAAAAAAACUUGAAAAAGACCAUGGGUGGGUGGGAGCAGUGUUUUGGACGGUGAGAGGCGACGAGGGUCUGCCUCACCACGCGGCGAGGCGCUCGCCUUUUUGAAUCGAGGCGCCAAUUAAUACCAAAUUAAAAAUAUUUAAUUGCACAUAUAAUAUUCAAAAUUUCAAUAGCACUUACAUAUCUUACAAAUACUAUAAUAAUUACUUUAAAAAAAUUAUUAUUUUUUUCAAAAUAAUAAUGGACAACAGUCAUAGACUCACAGCACAGUGAAAACAGAAGGCAUUUUAUAGUAAUCUGGUACAAAACAGAGAGUGAAGAAAAUAGAGAGAAAAAAGAGUAGUGAAGAAAACUUGAAGAAAACAGAAUUGAAAGUCUGAAAAGAAAAUUGAAGAAGAAGAACAGAAAAAAAUAGGUAUACCUCAGGUCUUCAGCAAUAGCAACUUGAAGAUGAUGGAGACCAGGAGAAGAUAUAGGGGAAGAGAGUCGCGAUGGGAAGAGAGUCGGGGAGAAGAGUGCGCAGCAGCAGAUUUUGAAAAUAUAAAAAAAGGCCCUAAUUUUAAUUAAUAUUGUUAAGUCAAAUUUUUAAAAAAUAAAAAAGGCGACGCCUUUUCUAGCGCCAUUAGGUCGCCAUGAGCCGCCUUUUGCAUACCGCAUCGCCUCAGUGGGGAAUGGCGAGGAGGCCUCGCCUCGCCUCUCGCCAAAGGCAAUGAGGCGCUCGCCAUUCACAACACUGGGUGGGAGAGGGAUGUACAAGACUAUGAGGGUGUGGAUGGGGUUGGGUUAGGGUGGGCAAAGUUGUAGAAGACGUUAAGUGGGUGGGGAAUAGUGAAGAAGACGAUCUGGGUGGGUGGGGCAGAAAAGACGACCUUGGUGGGGUUGGUUUUUUUUUUUUAAUUUUGUGUAAAAAAUUUCACAUGUCAUUGAGUCAUUGACUCCUUCAUUCUACUAAAAUAUCAUUAUAUAAAGAAUAUGUUUAAUAUAUUCGCCAAGUGUGUUUAUUUAAUUUGUCAAUUUAACACAUCAGGCGAGUGUGUUACACAUACCUUAUAUAUUUAACUGAUUGUUUAAAAAAUGCUAAAAUGACACAAUUCAGUACGAUAUUUAGUGGCUAAAAUGUACAAAGCUUAGUUAAUGAGUCUAAGUGAAAAUUGAUGCCAAUUUUAGGGGGCAACCGAUGGAUUCAGCCAAGAAUAUUUUCAAGUGUUUAACUUGAUCGAAUACACCGUAAUACCAAGUUGGUCAAAGCUGUCUUGUUUAAACAAUUCUAACCAUAAUUUUCAUUGUAAAAUUAUACCUCAUUUUAAUUUUUUAAUGAAUCUACUCAAAGAAAUACCAGACCAGCAAGAUUCUGUUCACUAGUUGAGUUGAUGCUCUCAACUAUUUCUGAACUUGUCAAAACGAAAGAAUUAAAACUUUUGCCAUGAUAAAAAUAGUUCUUGAAAAUUCAUGAGAAUAGAUUGUUGAUUAUAUUUAACAGGAGGCGAAAAGCCAAAA